ensembl:misc_RNA Metazoa_SRP Metazoan signal recognition particle RNA
GCCAGGCGUGGUGGUGCAUCCUGUAAUCCCAACUACUUGGGAGGCUGAGGCAGGAGAAUCACUUGAACCCAGGAGGCAGAGGCUGCAGUGAGCUGAGAUCAGCCACUGCACUCCAGCCUGGGCAACAGAGUGAGACUCUGUCUCAA